UACGAAGGGGGCUAGCGUUGCUCGGAAUCACUGGGCGUAAAGGGCGCGUAGGCGGACUUUUAAGUCGGGGGUGAAAGCCCAGGGCUCAACCCUGGAAUUGCCUUCGAUACUGAGAGUCUUGAGUUCGGAAGAGGUUGGUGGAACUGCGAGUGUAGAGGUGAAAUUCGUAGAUAUUCGCAAGAACACCAGUGGCGAAGGCGGCCAACUGGUCCGAUACUGACGCUGAGGCGCGAAAGCGUGGGGAGCAAACAGG
rnacentral:rRNA from 3 species